rfam:Hordeum vulgare subsp. vulgare, WGS project CAJW01000000 data, contig: morex_contig_1599807
UCCCAAAAUUUUUGUCUUACAUUUGUCUAGAUAUGAAUGUAUCUAGUCACGCUUUAGUAUUUAGAUACAUCUAUUUCUAGACAAACGUAAGACAAGAAUUUUGGGACGGAGGGGAGUAUUUA